UACGUAGGGCGCGAGCGUUGUCCGGAAUUAUUGGGCGUAAAGAGCUUGUAGGCGGUUUGUCGCGUCUGCUGUGAAAGCCCGGGGCUUAACCCCGGGUUUGCAGUGGGUACGGGCUAACUAGAGUGCAGUAGGGGAGACUGGAAUUCCUGGUGUAGCGGUGGAAUGCGCAGAUAUCAGGAGGAACACCGAUGGCGAAGGCAGGUCUCUGGGCUGUAACUGACGCUGAGAAGCGAAAGCAUGGGGAGCAA
rnacentral:rRNA from 1 species